AUGGCCGGCCUCACGGCCUGGACAAUUUGGCGUUAUCGCAACUCAGUCAUCUUCGACAAGAUCACUCCCGCCACAUCAACUGUCGUUGAUGCUAUCAAGGAAGAGGCUCGCUCCUGGGCAAAUACCGGAGCCAAAGGACUGAAAGAUUUUAUCCCUGUAACCUGA
rnacentral:rRNA from 1 species